AACCCAAAAGCUAGCCUCA
rnacentral:rRNA from 1 species